rnacentral:rRNA from 1 species
CGCAAGGGAGGAGUAUGUAUGUGAGAACUCUUUUCUCGUACUGAAAGGGAGGUGUGAUUUUACACCCGUGGCGUGCGCAAUUUCUCUUUUUUGUGUUUUUGCCCAACGCCGGCCGGCCCCCCGUGGGCUGCGCGCGAGUGUGCCUGUUUGGACCCGAAAGGUGGUGAACUAUGCCUGAACAAGGUGAAGCCCGGGGAAACCCCGGUGGAGGCCUGUAGCGAUGCUGACGUGCAAAUCGCUCGUACGAUUUGGGUAUCGGAGCGAAAGACUCAUCGAACCACCUAGUAGCUGGUUCACGUCGAAGUUUCCCUCAGGAUAGCUGGUGCUUGUCUUUAAGAAGUAUUGUGCGGUAAAGCAAAUGAUUAGAGGCAUUGGUGUUCUUGUAAUAUCGACCUAUUCUCAAACUUUAAAUGUGCAAACAACCCAGCCUUAGUUAUUUUAACAAGGCUUUUGGGUACAUAAGAAUUGAGGCACCAAGUGGGCCUUCUUCGGUAAGCGGAGCAGGCGAUGCGGAAUGAACCG